rnacentral:tRNA from 1 species
GUUAAGUUAGUUUAAAUAAAAAUAUCAGCCUGUGGAGUUGAAGAUGAAUAUAAUUUACUUAACC